UGGGCCUUCCCCCACGCUGUGAAAUCCCAACGAAAGAUAAGCUGCAGUAGGACUCCCACCUCAGGGUUAUUUGGCUGUGGAACCAGGUCCAGGCCCGAGGAGGCCCCGGGCCUGGUCCCCAGCUCACCCGGGUGCUGUGUGGACGGAAUAGGCGCACUGCUGCGAUGGGCUCUGAGCUGGAGUCUGCCAUGGAGACCCUCAUCAACGUGUUCCACGCCCACUCAGGCAAGGAGGGGGACAAGUACAAGCUGAGCAAGAAGGAACUGAAGGAGCUGCUGCAGACCGAGCUGUCUGGCUUCCUGGAUGUGAGCAUGGAGUGCCAGGAGAGGGCGGGUGGGCAAGAGGUGGGGCACUGGGGGCGCCUCCCUGCCAUUCCUCCCCGCCCCCGCAGCUCAGUCCAGCCACCCCCUCCUCUCUCAUGGGGGUCUUCCAGGCUCCCCUGUGUCAAAUCCAAAUGCCCUGGUUUACUGCCUACCUGUGAAGCACUAGGUCUUGUGCAGUUUCCUCAAUGAGGUUCACGGUCUAGAAGGGAAACCCCGAACUCCAGGAAGUACACAGAGCCUUAACAAAGGUGCCAGAAAGGGUUAGUGGGAGAUUAGUGGCCAGACUGAAGUAAGACGGUUCCUUGAAGAGUGGCAGUUGAGCCAGGGGCUUCCACUGGAAGAUGACUGGGGUCAAUGAAGACAUUUUAGGGGGUGUCUGCAUGAACACAAGCAUAGAAGACAAUGUGGAGCACGCCCAGCAGUUCCAUUUGACUGGAGAGUGUGGAGAAGCAGGCUGCAAACGUUAACAGGGGGCACACAGUGAAGAAGCCACUCAGAUAUGGCAGACCGGGCAGCUCUGCAUUCAAAUUUUGGUCCUACUACUUCCUUUUUCUUCCCCCGCGUCAGUAUUGGGCAUUGAACCCAACGGUGCUUUAUCACUGAGUUAACGCUCCCAGCCCUUUUUAUUUUUUAGGACAGGGUCUCACUAAGCUGCUGAGGCUGGCCUCAAACUUGGGAUCCUCGUGCCUCAGCCUCCUGAGUCACUGGGAUUAUGGGCAUGUGUCACUAAGACCAGCCCUGCCACCUUUUUUCUUUUUCUUUUUGGUACUGAGGAUUGAACUCAGGAGCAUUCAAUCACUGAGCCACAUCCCCAGCCCGUUUUACUUUUUUUUUUUUUAAAGAGAGAAUUUUAAUAUUUAUUUUUCAGUUAUCGGCGGACACAACAUCUUUGUAUGUGGUGCUGAGGAUGGAACCCGGGCCGCACGCAUGCCAGGCGAGCGCGCUACCGCUUGAGCCACAUCCCCAGCCCCCCUUUUUACUUUUUGAGACAGGGUCUCACUAAGUUGUAUAGGGGCCUUGUUAAAUUGCUGAGGCUGGCCUCAAACUUGGGAUCCUCAGUCUCCUGAGCUGCUGGGAUGACAGGUGUGCAUCACCACACCUAAUGUCAGCCCUGCCGCUUUUUGUGUGACUUUGGGCACAUUUACUUAACAAAAAUCAUCCAUGUUUCUUCUUCAGAAUGGAAUUAAUAAAAAGAGCCCCAUACUGCUUGUAUUAGAAUUAAACUAGACAGUGCCUGGAAGGCUCCUAGUGUAGUGCUUGUCACACUGUAGACAAUUAGCUUAUGGUGAUUGACGUUAUCAUUAACUCUUCCAGUUAAGGCGUUUCUUCUGAAGGCAACAGGAGCCCAUGAGCCUUCUUGGGUGGAAAGCAGAAGGUCCCAUGAUUAGAGGCUGUCUGACCUCUUGCUCACGUCUGCCUUGCUCUCCUCGACCACCUCCUGCCCCGACUCAGUGAUGCACACCUCCUCUCCCUCUUCUUCCUCCACAGGCCCAGAAGGAUGCAGAUGCUGUGGACAAGGUGAUGAAGGAGCUCGAUGAGAAUGGAGACGGGGAGGUGGACUUCCAGGAGUAUGUGGUGCUGGUGGCUGCUCUCACAGUGGCCUGUAACAACUUCUUCUGGGAGAACAGUUGAGCAGACAGCCCAGUGGGCAGCGCCCUUCCCCUCCCCCUGCCGGGCCCGCCCCUUCACCUGCUUUCACCUCACCCCACUUAUCCCUGUCCACAUUCUCACCAUUGCCCACCUCCUUCAAUACACACCAAGGGCGCAAGAGUAGCAGUCCAGGCCUGCAA
rnacentral:lncRNA from 1 species